rnacentral:lncRNA from 1 species
UGAGGACUAGUUCAGCCACCUCGAGAAGGACACUGUAAGAGCAUCCUGAGGCGAUGUGGAAUAAUUGUUCACUGCCAGGAAAUGACAGCACUAGACAAUGUUUGUGUGGCAACCCAUGACAGGGGCUCCACUGAGCCAAAAUGUCAUGCUGGUCUGCAAGAACAGGAAGCAGAGCUGUACGCUCUGGCAAUUUUCAUAAAUAGACAGCAAGGCUCCCGAAACUAGUGAAUUCGUGGACUGUAUCCAUGUGUGACAUGCAAGUGGUGCUUCUGUGUUUUCAGCCAUGUCCAUGCUCAGAGGAGACGAAAGGAGGCUGUUAGUGCCGUCUUUCUGACAAAAGACAACAGUCCAGGCUGACUCCUCCCAUGCCACAAAACUGCUAUAAACUCCCAAAUUGGCAAGUGUUGGCUUAUAGAUGGCACCAACCCCAGGAACGAUGAGGUCAGCUCCUGGGAUGGAAAAACAGCUUCUGGGCCAUCAAAAUCCACUUUACCUGAAAUAUUUUUUCUUGUUGUUUGGACCCGGGCUGGUGAGCUAAGUCUUCCUUCUUGCUGCCUCUUGGAGGAGAAGGAGGGGAAUCCACAGAAGCGUCAUUUGGGCAUCUUCCUCCGAUUGUUGUUGCUUCACAUUGUUUGAAACAAGAUAUCUCUCAGCAUCUGCAACACGCCUCUUCGAUGAGUGCAUGAUACACGCUGUGGGCGUGGGACCUGCAAGCUCACAUUCCCUGAAU